rnacentral:lncRNA from 1 species
UUAAAUCGAUUGGCAUGAGUAUUAUUGUCAAUACAGGAGGGCGUGAGUUCGAAUGCGCUGAAGCGUAUUAUCCCCUACUUAUGGGUUGGGUAGGGGCUAUGGAUAGUUCUAGAUAUUGUAUCAAAAAAAAUGAUCAGGACUUAUAAUAAGAUUGUUUAAAAAAAUAUUCACUUUUAUUUAAAAUAACAUAAAUUGGCGAAAGUCGGAUAAAAGUAUCAUGAAGGCUCC